rnacentral:rRNA from 1 species
UACGAAGGGUGCAAGCGUUACUCGGAAUUACUGGGCGUAAAGCGUGCGUAGGUGGUUUGUUAAGUCUGAUGUGAAAGCCCUGGGCUCAACCUGGGAAUUGCAUUGGAUACUGGCAGGCUAGAGUGCGGUAGAGGGAAGUGGAAUUUCCGGUGUAGCGGUGAAAUGCGUAGAUAUCGGAAGGAACAUCAGUGGCGAAAGCGACUUCCUGGACCAAUACUGACACUCAAGUGCGAAAGCGUGGGGAGCAAACAGGG